GGCCUGAGGAUCUACAUAAUAAGAUUAGAAAUUUUGUAGCUAAAACUUAGUUUAUUUGAUUAUCAUAGACUUGUAGUUAACUAUUUAUGAAUUUUGAGACAUAGGUUUGAUAUAUGAUUGUGAAUUUAGAUGCUCCAAAUAAAUUUUGAUUUAAUUACAUGAUGACUAAAUUUUUUACUAUAUUUUAUUUAUGAUAGAUUU
rnacentral:lncRNA from 1 species